GUGGCCACUCCUUCCCUCUCUCUCUCUCUCUCUCUCCGCCGUCAUCAGCCACCAGGACAGCUGUGGACACGUGCACCGAUACAUCGGCCUCAUGCACUCUUCGGCCCUUAUACCUGCCGUAGUGCACCAUGGGCCGUGGGUCGACAAGUGUACAGGGUGACUGGUGAGGUGAGGUGAGGGUGCCAAGAUGCCACUGUACAGGAGUCUGGUGGAAUUACUGCUACUACUGUGUCCUGGCAAGAUGGAUACAAGAUUCCCAUGCCGGCUAUGACUUGCUGGGAUAUUGACGGUUGUGUCAUUGUAACAUGUCCACAACACCUCCUGGGACCAAGAGAUGAUGUUGCUGCUGCUGCUGUCACAUCAUGUUGUACACUUGUGAGGUGUUAGUGAGGGUGGUGGCAGUGGUGCAGGUGUCUCCACGCUGCCUGCCUGCUUGGUGGAGUGGUGCAGUGUGGUGCAGAAGUAUGGAGAGAGCCCUUAUAUCCUGAGCUCUUUCACACCUACAUAGCUGCUGGAAAGUAUUGGCUGGGUGGCAGGAGAGUAGCAGUGAUCUCAUUGAGUAGUUCUAUGAAGGCUUUCAUUGCUGUACAACUCAUUUUUUGGGUCCCAGACGUGCUGUUUUUCCCUCACAAGCUCCAACAUUUUCUUUGCCCCUGGGUACUACAUGUUGAAGCCUUCUGCCAUGACAUCACAGUGUAAACAAAACUGCUAACAACUGGACAACAUGUAGGUCUUGUUUUGCUGGAAGCAGCUUCACCUAUUAGGCACCAAAGUCCACCGAAUCCCUUUAGUGGGUAGCAUUGCCAUCCACCCAUUUGACACUUGUGAACCUGCCUUAAGAGUGUUUUGUGGGCCGUUGUGUGUUUAGAGGCAAGCUUUAGUGGUGUAUGGGUGUGUGGCAGUGGUUCCUUCCUGGCAUUGCAAUGUAUGGGGAGGGUGGGAUGAUGUCCGCUCACUAAAGGCCUGCCCACACUCAAACUUUUUUGCUGAUGAAUAACCUGACUGCUUUACCAGAACUUCCAUCACAGGUGAUUGAGAAGUGUGGGGGGAAUCUCCUGCUUGUACCCUGAGUUUGGAUGCUCACCACCAAUUUCUGACACAGCACUGGUUAUUCCCUGAGGAAAAAGUCUAGUGUGGACAGGCCUUAGCCCCUUCCUUAUUGCAGCCACCCCCCGAUAUAAACAAAGCGUUCCCCUCCUAUACCAUAACCCCCUGCUCGUGCGCGCACGUGCCUCACGCCCAGAUCUACACAUUAUAUUUCUUUCUAACUCAGUGUUAUGUACUUUUUUCUAAACAUAUUUUUGUCAUUUUACUAAUAAAAGAAAACGUAAACAUAAUCAUAAAUUGUGCUUUGCAUACAAAUAUACUGAAAUACCUAAAUUACAGAAUGGUUAUCUGUAGUUGAAAAUGAUUGUAUGUAGAGAAUAAUGCCAGUUUUACUUACCCUACAAAUCAUGAUGUGCUACUCUCUUAGCAGUGGUAAGCCUGGAAAUGUUCAUUCAAACAUAAUAAAGGUUGUUCCUGGCAAGCAGGACAGUACUUUCGAGCCCA
rnacentral:misc_RNA from 1 species